AAACCAGCACCUCAAGUGGUCAGGAUGAUUAUUGGGCCUAAAGCAGCCGUCGCCGGCCCUGUAAGUUUUCGGUUAAAUCUGUACGCUUAACGUACAGGCUGCCGGAAAUACUGCAGAGCUAGGGAGUGGGAGAGGUAGACGGUACUCGGGAGGAAGGGGUAAAAUCCUUUGAUCUCUCGAUGACCACCUGUGGCGAAGGCGGUCUACCAGAACACGUCCGACGGUGAGGGAUGAAAGCUGGGGGAGCAAACCGGAUUAGAAACCCGAGUAGUCC
rnacentral:rRNA from 1 species